rnacentral:rRNA from 1 species
CUACGGGGGGCUGCAGUGGGGAAUCUUGGACAAUGGGGGCAACCCUGAUCCAGCCAUGCCGCGUGAGUGAAGAAGGCCCUAGGGUCGUAAAGCUCUUUCGCCUGUGAAGAUAAUGACGGUAGCAGGUAAAGAAACCCCGGCUAACUCCGUGCCAGCAGCCGCGGUAAUACGGAGGGGGUUAGCGUUGUUCGGAAUUACUGGGCGUAAAGCGCACGUAGGCGGAUCGGAAAGUUGGGGGUGAAAUCCCGGGGCUCAACCCCGGAACUGCCUCCAAAACUAUCGGUCUAGAGUUCGAGCGAGGUGAGUGGGAUUCCGGGUGUAGGGGGUAAAUUCGUAGAUAUUCGGAGGAACAACAGUGGCGAAGGCGGCUCACUGGCUCGAUACUGACGCUGAGGUGCGAAAGUGUGGGGAGCAAACAGGAUUAGAUACCCUGUAGUC